rnacentral:tRNA from 1 species
GGAGGUAUAGCUCAGUGGUAGAGUGCAUGCUUAGCAGGCGUGAGGUCCUGGGUUCUGUCCCCAGAACCUCCA